AACGAACGCUGGCGGCAUGCCUAACACAUGCAAGUCGAACGAGACCUUCGGGUCUAGUGGCGCACGGGUGCGUAACGCGUGGGAACCUGCCCUUAGGUUCGGAAUAACUCCCCGAAAGGGGUGCUAAUACCGGAUAAUUUCUUCGGACCAAAGAUUUAUCGACUUUGGAUGGGCCCGCGUUGGAUUAGCUAGUUGGUAGGGUAAAAGCCUAUCAAGGCGACGAUCCAUAGCUGGUCUGAGAGGAUGAUCAGCCACACUGGGACUGAGACACGGCCCAGAAUCCUACGGGAGGCAGCAGUGGGGAAUAUUGGACAAUGGGCGAAAGCCUGAUCCAGCAAUGCCGCGUGAGUGAUGAAGGCCUUAGGGUUGUAAAGCUCUUUUACCCGGGAUGAUAAUGACAGUACCGGGAGAAUAAGCUCCGGCUAACUCCGUG
rnacentral:rRNA from 1 species